UGUAAAGAAGGAACUGACUGGUGUUG
rnacentral:piRNA from 1 species